rnacentral:rRNA from 1 species
GGGUGCUCGAGUGGCGAACGGGUGAGUAACACGUGAGUAACCUGCCCUUGACUUUGGGAUAACUUAAGGAAACUGGGGCUAAUACCGGAUAGGAGCUCCUGCUGCAUGGUGGGGGUUGGAAAGUUUCGGCGGUUGGGGAUGGACUCGCGGCUUAUCAGCUUGUUGGUGGGGUAGUGGCUUACCAAGGCUUUGACGGGUAGCCGGCCUGAGAGGGUGACCGGCCACAUUGGGACUGAGAUACGGCCCAG